UGAGGAAUAUUGGGCAAUGGGUGAGAGCCUGACCCAGCCAUGCCGCGUGCAGGAAGAAGGCGUUCUGCGUUGUAAACCGCUUUUGAUCGGGAAGAAAGUGUCUUUGCGAAGACAGUUGACGGUACCGAUAGAAUAAGCACCGGCUAACUCCGUGCCAGCAGCCGCGGUAAUACGGAGGGUGCAAGCGUUGUCCGGAUUUAUUGGGUUUAAAGGGUGCGUAGGCGGCCUUAUAAGUCAGCGGUGAAAGUUUUUGGCUUAACCAAAAAAUUGCCAUUGAUACUGUAGGGCUUGAAUAUUUGUGAAGUAACUAGAAUAUGUAGUGUAGCGGUGAAAUGCUUAGAUAUUACAUGGAAUACCAAUUGCGAAGGCAGGUUACUAACAAAUGAUUGACGCUGAUGGACGAAAGCGUGGGUAGCGAACAGGAUUAGAUACCCUGGUAGA
rnacentral:rRNA from 1 species